rnacentral:rRNA from 1 species
UCCGCAGGCGGGCAUAUAAGUCAGUGGUGAAAGCCUACAGCUUAACUGUAGAACUGCCAUUGAUACUGUAAGUCUUGAAUUCGGUCGAAGUGGGCGGAAUGUGACAUGUAGCGGUGAAAUGCUUAGAUAUGUCACAGAACACCGAUAGCGAAGGCAGCUCACUAGGCCUGAAUUGACGCUCAUGGACGAAAGCGUGGGGAGCAAACA